CAGAGAGGAUUGCAGAGGGACCGAGUUCACAGCGACUGACUGCAGACUGACAUACAAUCUCAACUGAAAGCUAUGGAUCAGCAGAUAUAGGUGAUACCAGUAAAGAAGACAAGAUGGGGAGAUGCGUUCAGAGAUAGGAAGUGUAUGGAGGCAGAGGUAGAUGGCGGAACCAUGAGCAGGUCUCUGAGGAGCAGAGAAUAAAUGAGACAAAAGGUGUGAAGAGGAAAGUAAAGUAUAAGUCAUGCAAAAAGUGAUUCUAAUAAAAUAUUAUCAUGUUAAAUUG